UUAUAGUUAUAUGUCAUUUCCCACUUAAUGAGUUGUUAUAGCUGUUAUCAUGGUAAUGUUUUGACCAUGUCUCAGAUACUGCAUGUGCCCACAAAAAAGUGUAAUCUAGGACACACCCUUUUGUUUUGAUAAUGACAGCAUUUAGCUUUGUAAUGAUAGCUAGUGUAUCUUUUUUCUUCUAAUCUACAGAUUUACCUGCGUCUUCCAGAUGAUCUGAAGAUCGGGAAUAUAGAAAAUAUUAUCAAUUUGAUAUUGCUAAUGACCCAGUCAAGUCUGCUGAAGCCCAGAAGUUUCCAGACCAUGACAUUAAUGAAUAUUUCUUGAAUGGAAUGCAUGAGGAUUAGAAUGGAACCUUAUUCUUCCUUUUUAUGGAGCCAACCACAGAAGAAUUUGUUCUAUACACAUCAUUCAUAACAUUCUUAUUUAUGUUGCAUAACUUUAAAUGUUACUGGAUGAAUUGUGUUCACAUGAUGAAUACCAGCAAACCUUUUAUCGAGUGCACUUAAUUUGUAUUUUUCCUACCCAUCCAUCUAACAUAUGUUUUUAUGUAGCAUAUUCAUAUACAUGUAACAUUUUUGGAAACAGCUAUUUUUUUUAAAUUGGAAUUUAGCCUUACUAUUUUAUACAAGUUUUUUUUAAAGGGACUUGGACACGAUUUUAGAUCAAAAAUUUGUUUUGAGUUUCUUUAUGCAUAAAAUGAUUUACUUGCACAUUUUGAAUAAUUGACCAUAAUUUGAAUGUUAGAAGUCAAGUUAUAAGAGAGAUACAGGGAUAAGAAUUUAUUGUUAUGUAAACAAAGCUCGAGUCUUAUGUUUGUUUACAAAUAAUAUAAAGUAUGAAAUUACAUGUACCAUACUGAUUCGAUGUGAUCAUAAAUGAUAUUAAAGGAUAUUAUUAAUAGAAAAAAGCAACAUUUGAAUGAAACUUACACCAAUAAAACACAUAUGUAAAUAAUAACAAGACCCGCGCUUUGUUUUAAAACAAAGAAUAUUUAAUUCUUUAUCUUUCAUUUAACUCAGUAUUUGACUUUCAAAAUUAGUAUUAUGAUUUUUUUAGAAUGAUAUAUGCAAUUUCAUUAAUUUAUUUUUCAUUUUAAGAAAAUUCAUUUUAAAAAAGAUCUCUUACAACCUGUGUAUUUUUUUUUCAGUUUACAUAACACAGUGUAUUAAUUGAAUGUAGUUGUGUAGAUUUAUACAUGUACCUACAAGCAAUAUACAAUUAAUAUUCACCAGGUACAUGUACCAGCCUACUAUAUUUGAUAAAUAAAUGUACUUCUUUCAUGCCUUUUUCAUGCCUUUUACUCAUUGUUAUAUGUAUUAUUUAUAAUUAAAAUACUUUGAAAACUUUU